rnacentral:pre_miRNA from 1 species
UCAUGGUGCAAUUAUGAGUUUUUUUCUCCAAUGUUUGAUCAUCCAUCUUAUUUAAAAUCUUAUUUAAAAUUUUCUUAUUUAAUAUCUGAUAAAACAUGAAUAAUAAUCUAUGCGUGACUUAUUAUUUUUAUUUUUUUAUAAAUUUUUAAAUAAGGUGGAUGGUGAAACGUCAGAUAUAAAAACCUAUAAUUGCAUUUAAA